UACGGGGGGGGCAAGCGUUGUUCGGAAUUACUGGGCGUAAAGGGCUCGUAGGCGGCCAACUAAGUCAGACGUGAAAUCGCCGGGCUCAACCCGGGAACUGCGUCCGAUACUGGGAGGCUUGAAUCCGGGAGAGGGAUGUGGAAUUCCAGGUGUAGCGGUGAAAUGCGUAGAUAUCUGGAGGAACACCGGUGGCGAAGGCGGCAUCCUGGACCGGUAUUGACGCUGAGGCGCGAAAGCUAGGGGAGCAAACAGG
rnacentral:rRNA from 1 species